CCUACGGGAGGCAGCAGUGGGGAAUCUUGCGCAAUGGGCGAAAGCCUGACGCAGCCAUGCCGCGUGAAUGAUGAAGGUCUUAGGAUUGUAAAAUUCUUUCACCGGGGACGAUAAUGACGGUACCCGGAGAAGAAGCCCCGGCUAACUUCGUGCCAGCAGCCGCGGUAAUACGAAGGGGGCUAGCGUUGCUCGGAAUUACUGGGCGUAAAGGGAGCGUAGGCGGAUAGUUUAGUCAGAGGUGGAAGCCCAGGGCUCAACCUUGGAAUUGCCUUUGAUACUGGCUAUCUUGAGUACGGAAGAGGUAUGUGGAACUCCGAGUGUAGAGGUGAAAUUCGUAGAUAUUCGGAAGAACACCAGUGGCGAAGGCGACAUACUGGUCCGUUACUGACGCUGAGGCUCGAAAGCGUGGGGAGCAAACAGGAUUAGAUACCCUGGUAGUCCACGCUGUAAACGAUGAGUGCUAGUUGUCGGGCAUGCAUGCAUGUCGGUGGACGCAGACUACGACAUUAAGUACACCUCCGCCGUCGGGGUAGGUACGGUCGGCGAAGAAGUUAAAACUAACAAAGUAGUAAGUUAGACGGCGUGAGACGUGCCGACGGACGACCGACGAGGGAGGAGG
rnacentral:rRNA from 1 species